AUGGCGGACUCGACGUCGCCGGCGGCGGCGGCCAGGCUGGAGAAGAGCUACUUCGACGUGCUGGGCAUCUGCUGCCCGUCCGAGGUGCCGCUGGUGGAGAAGCUGCUGGAGCCGCUCGCCGGCGUGCACAAGGUCACCGUCGUGGUGCCGUCCCGGACCGUCAUCGUCCUCCACGACGCCGCCGCCAUCUCCCAGGCCCAGAUCGUGAGGGCGCUGAACGGGGCGCGGCUGGAGGCGUCGGUGCGGGCCUACGGCGGCGCCGGGCAGAGCAAGGUGUCCAACAAAUGGCCCAGCCCGUACGUGCUCGUCUGCGGGGUCCUUCUGGUGGUCUCGCUCUUCGAGCACUUCUGGCGGCCGCUCAGGUGGUUCGCCGUGGCGGGUGCCGCCGCCGGCCUGCCGCCGAUCGUGCUCAGGAGCGUCGCCGCCCUCCGCCGGCGCACCAUGGACGUCAACAUACUCAUGCUCAUCGCAGUUGCUGGGGCCAUUGCUCUGAAGGACUAUCCCGAGGCCGGGUUCAUCGUCUUCCUCUUCACCAUAGCCGAAUGGCUCGAGACCAGGGCAUGCGGCAAGGCCACUGCUGGCAUGUCAUCACUAAUGAGCAUGGCACCACAAAAUGCUGUUCUAGCAGAGACUGGACAAGUGGUUGCUACCCAGGAUGUGAAGAUCAAUACAGUAAUAGCUGUCAAGGCAGGGGAAGUCGUGCCGAUCGAUGGUGUUGUUGUCGAUGGACGGAGUGAGGUCGACGAGAGCACCCUCACUGGGGAGUCCUUCCCGGUGUCCAAGCAGGCAGACUCCCAGGUCUGGGCUGGCACGCUCAACAUAGAUGGUUACAUUGCUGUGAGGACAACUGCUAUGGCCGACAACUCUGCGGUGGCCAAAAUGGCAAGGCUGGUUGAAGAAGCCCAAAACAGUCGGUCCAGUACGCAGAGGCUGAUCGACACUUGCGCCAAGUACUACACACCCGCUGUUAUUUUCAUGUCUGCAGCAGUGGCAGUGAUCCCUGUGUGUGUCAAAGCGCGCAACCUAAGACACUGGUUUGAACUGGCCCUAGUUCUCCUGGUGAGUGCUUGUCCAUGUGCUCUGGUGCUGUCGACACCCGUGGCAACCUUCUGCGCGCUGCUGAGGGCCGCGAGGACGGGGCUCCUCAUCAAAGGAGGGGAUGUGCUCGAGUCCUUGGCCAGUAUCAAAGUUGCUGCCUUCGACAAGACUGGUACAAUCACUAGGGGUGAGUUCUCUGUCGAGGAGUUUCAGACAGUUGGUGAGCGUGUUUCGAAGCAACAACUUAUUUACUGGGUUUCAAGCAUCGAGAGCAGGUCGAGCCACCCAAUGGCAUCUGCUCUUGUUGGUUAUGCUCAAUCAAACUCUGUAGAGCCAAAAUCAGAAAAUGUUGCUGAGUUUCAAAUCUAUCCUGGCGAGGGGAUUUACGGUGAGAUUGAUGGGGAGGGCGUAUAUGUUGGGAACAAAAGGAUCUUGGCAAGGGCAUCGUGUCAAACAGUUCCGGACAUAGUAGAACACAUGAAAGGAGUUACCAUCGGAUACGUGGCCUGCAACAAGGAAUUGAUUGGGGUAUUCAGCCUCUCGGAUUCUUGCCGAACUGGGUCAGCCGAGGCCAUCAAGGAGUUGAGAUCACUGGGCAUCAAGUCAGUGAUGCUUACUGGCGAUAGUACUGCCGCUGCCACACAUGCACAGAACCAGCUGGGGAACAUACUAGCUGAGGUUCAUGCUGAACUUCUGCCAGAAGACAAAGUGAGAAUUGUUGAUGAACUGAAGGCAAGAGAUGGCCCUACACUGAUGAUUGGCGACGGCAUGAAUGAUGCCCCGGCACUGGCUAAGGCUGAUGUUGGAGUCUCCAUGGGCGUGUCCGGUUCAGCCGUCGCAAUGGAGACGAGUCACAUUACUCUGAUGUCAAACGACAUCCGCAGGAUCCCAAAGGCAAUCAAGCUGGCCAGGAGGACGCACCGGACCAUCGUCGUGAACAUUGUCUUCUCGGUGACCACGAAGCUUGCAAUUGUUGGGCUUGCGUUUGCCGGGCAUCCGCUUAUUUGGGCAGCAGUCCUUGCUGAUGUUGGCACAUGCUUGCUGGUGAUCAUGUACAGCAUGCUGCUACUGAGGGAGAAAGGCAGUGGAAAGGUGGUGAAGAAAUGCUGUGCUUCUUCUCACUCAAAAAAGCAUGAGCAUAGUACGUCCCACCACCACUGCUCCAAUGAUCAUCAGCAUGACCAUGUAUCUGCAGGCAAGCAUUCUUGCCAUGAUCAUCACCAUGAGCAUGAUCACCACAAAGAGCCUAGCAACCUGCAUUCCACAGACAAGCAUGGCUGCCAUGAUCAUGGCCAUGGCCAUAGCCACUGCAAAGAGCCGAGCAGCCAGAUGGUGACAAGCAAGCAUGUUUCCCAUGGGCAUGGCCAUACCCACAACAUCUGCAGCCCUCACCCCGCUGUGAGCAAGCAUGAUUGCCAUGACCAUGAACAUAGCCACCACCAAGAACCCAACAGUUCACAUUCUGCCGAUGAGCAUGAUUGCCAUGAUCACAAGCACUGUGAAGAACCAAUCAGCUUGCUUUGUGCCACUGAGCAUGCUUGCCACGACCAUGAGCAGAACCAUGAGCAUCAUUGCUGUGAUGAAGAGCAAACAGUGCAUGUAGCAGAUACGCAUUCCUGCCAUGACCAUAAGCAUGACGACAGUGCGGCUGAUCCAGUUCCAGAGCUGUCGAUAUCUAUCGAGAGCGCAUUGCCUGAUCACCAUGAGCAGGAAAUCCAGUGCAUCAAAGAGCACAAAGAGAAAGCGUGUGGACAUCACCUGAAGGUCAAGGAUCACGUCCCGGCUCCGACAGAUUGCAGCAGGGGAAACUGUCACAGUACGGUGAGCAGCAAGGGAUGUGAAAGCAAAGGCAAAGAAGUUUGUUCAAGCUGGCCGGUUGGUCGUACCGGAAUAAUCCGCAGGUGUUGCAGGACUAGGGCGCGCAGCUGCUGCAGCCACAGCAUGUUGAAACUACCUGAGAUUAUAGUAGAGUAG
rnacentral:rRNA from 1 species